rnacentral:rRNA from 1 species
UACGAGAAUCUUUGAUUCAAGUGGCGGACGGGUGAGUAACACGUAAGAAUUUGCCUUUAGGAGGGGGACAACAACUGGAAACGGUUGCUAAUACCCCAUAUGCUUUUUAGUGAAAUGGUAUUUCCGCCUAAAGAGAAGCUUGCGGCUGAUUAGCUUGUUGGUAGGGUAAUGGCCUACCAAGGCGACGAUCAGUAUCUGGUUUGAGAGGACGAUCAGACACACUGGAACUGAGACACGGUCCAGACUCCUACGGGAGGCAGCAGUAGGGAAUUUUCCGCAAUGGGCGAAAGCCUGACGGAGCAAUACCGCGUGAGGGAUGAAUGCCUAUGGGUUGUAAACCUCUUUUUUCAGGGAGGAAUAAAUGACGUGUACCUGAAGAAUAAGCAUCGGCUAACUCCGUGCCAGCAGCCGCGGUAAGACGGAGGAUGCAAGUGUUAUCCGGAAUCACUGGGCGUAAAGCGUCUGUAGGUGGUUAAAUAAGUCAACUGUUAAAGCUUGGGGCUCAACCUCAAAAUCGCAGUCGAAACUAUUUGACUAGAGUAUAGUAGAGGUAAAGGGAAUUUCCAGUGGAGCGGUGAAAUGCGUAGAGAUUGGAAAGAACACCGAUGGCGAAGGCACUUUACUGGGCUAUUACUGACACUCAGAGACGAAAGCUAGGGUAGCAAAUGGGAUUAGAUACCCCAGUAGUCCUAGCUGUAAACAAUGGAUACUAGGUGUUGAACAUAUCAAUAUGUGCAGUACUAAAGCUAACGCGUUAAGUAUCCCGCCUGGGAAGUAUGCACGCAAGUGUGAAACUCAAAGGAAUUG